UUGGGCACUCUAAAGAAACCGCCGGUGAUAAGCCGGAGGAAGGUGGGGAUGACGUCAAGUCCUCAUGGCCCUUACGGGCUGGGCUACACACGUGCUACAAUGGCGGUGACAGUGGGCAGCAAUCCCGCGAGGGUGAGCUAAUCUCCAAAAGCCGUCUCAGUUCGGAUUGCACUCUGCAACUCGAGUGCAUGAAGCUGGAAUCGCUAGU
rnacentral:rRNA from 1 species